ACUUACCCUGUUUCCCCGAAAAUACACCCUACCCCGAAAAUAAGCCCUAGCCGGAUUAUCGGGGUGGGCUGCAAUAUAAGCCCUACCCCGAAAAUAAGACCUAGGCAUUGCACCUUUGCGGCCCGGCGAGACUUCCUUCUUCUACCUAUGAGGAGGAGGGGGAGGAGCGUUGCGGGCCGCGGCAUCGCGCAACGUGAUGACGACCUUUCGCAGUGCCGUCAGUCUGCCUUCACGGAUCUUCAGCGGAAGGAUCCAUUUCCGGGCGGUGAGGCACCCAGUGGUCGGACUCGGCGGGCAAGGAAUCUUUGAAAUGUGAGUAGAUAUUUUAUGUCUGGG